CAGAGGGUGCAAGCGUUGUUCGGAAUUACUGGGCGUAAAGCGCGCGUAGGCGGUUUUGUAUGUCGGAUGUGAAAUCCCAUGGCUUAACCAUGGAAGUGCAUUCGAAACUGCAGGGCUUGAGCGCAGAAGAGGAAGGUGGAAUUCCCAGUGUAGAGGUGAAAUUCGUAGAUAUUGGGAGGAACACCGGUGGCGAAGGCGGCCUUCUGGUCUGUAACUGACGCUGAGACGCGAAAGCGUGGGUAGCAAACAGGAUUAGAUACCCUGGUAGUCCACGCCCUAAACGAUGAAUACUUGAUGUGGGAAGAGUUAACCCUUUCCGUGUCGAAGCUAACGCGUUAAGUAUUCCGCCUGGGGAGUACGGUCGCAAGAUUA
rnacentral:rRNA from 1 species